rnacentral:rRNA from 1 species
AAGGCCUCAUGGUGGUAAAGCUCUUUUGUCAGGGAAGAAACGAAGCUGUUUAAUCUACCUNGAUAAUGACGGUACCUGAAGAAUAAGCCCCGGCUAACUACGUCCCAGCAGCCGCGGUAAUACGUAGGGCGCGAGCUUUUUUCGGAAUUACUGGGCGUAAAGCGUGCGCAGGCGGUUUUAUAAGUCAGAUGUGAAAUCCCCGGGCUCAACCUGGGAACUGCUUUAAAGACUGCAAGUCUAGAGUAUGACAGAGGAGGGUAGAAUUCCACGUGUAGCAGUGAAAUGCGUAGAUAUGGGGAGGAACACCGGUGGAGAAGGCAGCUCCCUGGACUAACAGUGACGCUGACGCGCGAAAGCGUGGGGAGCAAACAGGAUUAGAUACCCUGGUAGUCCACGCCAUAAACGAUGUAUACUAGUUGUCGGGUCUUAAUCCCCUCGGUGCCGCAGCUAACGCGUGAAG